rnacentral:lncRNA from 1 species
CGCGGCUGCCGCCAGCCCCUUGUGGGUCACAGCCUCCAGGAAAAUGCCAUCUGGGCUGCGUUUCCCCAGGGAGGCCCGAGGGGAGGGGGGAUGUUGGGGGGCACACUGCCACUGACUGGACCUGCGCUUGACUGUGGAGAAUCUGCUGCUCUCUCGCUGUCUAUGGCACACCUCUGGAAAAGCCACCGGCACAUCCGUCUGGAGAACCCUGAAGCACUGGAAUGGGCACCCAAAUGACAAAGUGGAUUCUGUCAUCUUUUCAGCACCCAAAUGACAAAGUGGAUUCUGUCAUCUUUUCAGCACCCAAAUGACAAAGUGGAUUCUGUCAUCUUUUCAGCACCCAAAUGACAAAGUGGAUUCUGUCAUCUUUUCAGCACCCAAAUGACAAAGUGGAUUCUGUCAUCUUUUC